rnacentral:rRNA from 1 species
CCUACGGGAGGCUGCAGUGGGGAAUAUUGGGCAAUGGGCGCAAGCCUGACCCAGCAACGUCGCGUGAAGGAAGAAGGCUCUCGGGUUGUAAACUUCUUUUGACAGGGAAGAGUAGAAGACGGUACCUGUCGAAUAAGCCACGGCUAACUACGUGCCAGCAGGCGGGGUAAUUCGGAGGUGGCAAGCGGUGUCCGGAUUUACGGGGGGUAAAGGGCGUGUAGCCGGGUUGACAAGUCAGAUGUGAAAUACUGCGGCUUAAACGCAGAAGUGCAUUUGAAACUGUUGAUCUUGAGUACGCGAGAGGUAGACGGAAUGCGUAGUGUAGCGGUGAAAUGCGUAGAUAUUACGAAGAACACCAGUGGCGAAGGCAGUCUGCUGGACAGCAACUGACGGUGAAGCGCGAAAGCGUGGGGAGCGAACAGGAUUAGAUACCCCAGUAGUC